UGGAUGAUUAAAUCUAAACUCAUGCCAGCCAUGGACACAAGUCAACAAAUUAGUGGGUGAUGAGAGAUUGUUAAAAAAUCGUGGAGCUCAUCUCGUCCAGAUGGAAAGCGGCAACCAUGGAAGAGUUAAUAGAGAAAUAAGCAGAAGACGAUUAGUGUAGCAGACGACUACCACGUAAAUCGUGACUCACAUUAUUGUUUGCAACAAGAGCAGCCCAACUCUUUGGCUUUAGCAACAGGACAGGUGCAUAUGGAAAGGUUCAUGGUCCACAACAAUCGGGCGAGUGCAAUCAGUGCUGUAUUGUUAGAACGAAAACAUCAGCCGGUUACACACAGACACAGAGCCGCUGUAGCUGAUGAUGGAAGCCCGUGACGCCCCUUGGUGCCGCCGGUACAUAUCCAAUUGUGCUGAUAGAUGCAGCGUAUACCGUCUCGCAAUCAAAUCGUGUUCGUCUGCUUCUUCUUCUGUGGAACCGUAUGAGCAAUACGUGCGUGUGUACUCCCUCCACCGCAUUGUAUGUAAACACAAGGUAGGAAGCUUCUUGAUGUACCAUAUCCAUCAGCUCCAACCGUCAGACGAUCUUCUCCAACUUGUUCUGUUUUGUGUGUAUUUGUACACGCGACAAGGUAGUGAUGACGCGUCAUCGUCGGGAGACUUCGUGUCCCGUGCGUGCUAUCUAAUUGUAUAAUAGUGUAUGUUUAUGGUUUUUUUAUUAUUGGGUGAGUAAUCGAGUAAAUAUCAAAUGAAGCAGCGGGGCGCCGCUAGCAAAACAAUAACGUCCCCGACUGCUUCUGCUGAUAAUCUCUAGUUUGCUGCUAGAUGCGCAAUUGCAAAGUUGGCUGAUGCAUCGCCAAUCGUUGACGUCUUUCGUUUUCUUUAUUCUAUCGCGCAGAAAAAGCUAUCUUUAGAUUAUCUUUGGGGGGGAGAGUUUAAUGAGACGUGAUUGGAAGCUCUUGCGGCUUUAUCAUUAAAGUAGUUUACCUAACCACCAUUUUAUCAGUAGAUCCAUUGAAAUGGAUAAGAAUUUCCGGUUUUUUAAUUCGUCCCUUUUGCUUUCCAAGAAAACGUUACUUCCCUUCACCCCCAUAAAUAUUUAUAAGAACCCCUAUUUGUAGAGUUUAGUGCAGUAUCAACAAUCUACAAAACUAUAGUAAAUGGUUGCGGCCCUCCAAAAUGCCGGAAGGAAACGAGGAUUUCCUAUGUUAAAUAGCGGGGAUUUAAUCCGGCGCACGUCUGCUGUCAUUGUCUUCGCUUACGUAUUGUUUGCUUUAAAGGUAAAAAUAGAUGCGUCUCCUUGUGACACUGUAAUAUAUGUAUUUUUUAUUGAUGGGGUAUUUAUGCUGGAACACGUCGACUGUUUUUAUUAAUUUUUUAAAAUCCAACUAGUCUAUAACUGCUAGCCUUUUUUAAAAAAGGUGUAUCUGAAUUUGAAAGAGUCCAUAUCUUGUAUACAAUUCGUUUGGUCUGUUCACCUUUAAACGGGAGUAGUUAGCAAGGCAAGUCGAACGUAUUGUUUCUUAUCAGCUGAAAGGAAAACCAACAAAGUCUUUGGAUCCAAUCGACAACAAAAAAAAGUUUUGAAUCUAGAUAAGUUUACUUUAUAUGGAAUUGAAGAGCCAAACCCGUUGCACCAAGACAGAUAGAGAAACGAGCCUUUGCGCCUUUCAUUUGAUUAAUUGUUUCGUACCCAUUCAAUCGAUGUUUCCGUAUGAUUUAAAAUGGAAACCAAUCCUGUUUUUUUUUUGUGUGUGGCGCUGUCAAUAAUUUAUUGGGAAUGAUUUGUUUGCUUAAUUUCUACGGGGAAUUCAACGAGAGACCCAAUUCCUGUUUGAUUGAACCACAUAGAAAAAAUGAUCACCGAUAAACAUUUUUCAAUAACAUUUAAAAAAACAAACAAGUUAAUUGACGGUUAUGUAGUUCCUGGUUCC
rnacentral:lncRNA from 1 species